rnacentral:rRNA from 1 species
UGGGGAAUCUUGCACAAUGGAGGAAACUCUGAUGCAGCGACGCCGCGUGAGCGAAGAAGCCUUUCGGGGUGUAAAGCUCUUACGCCAGGGACGAUAAUGACGGUACCUGGAGAAGCAGCUGCGGCUAACUACGUGCCAGCAGCCGCGGUAAUACGUAGGCAGCAAGCGUUGUUCGGAAUUACUGGGCGUAAAGGGUGCGUAGGCGGCGCUCUAAGUUUGGUGUGAAAUCUCCCGGCUUAACUGGGAGGGUGCACUGAAAACUGGGGCGCUCGAGUAUGGGAGAGGAAAGCGGAAUUCCAGGCGUAGCAGUGAAAUGCGUAGAUAUCUGGAAGAACACCAGUGGCGAAGGCGGUCAACUGGCCCAUAACUGACGCUCAUGCACGAAAGCGUGGGGAGCAAAC